rnacentral:misc_RNA from 1 species
AACCUAGCACACCUGCGGUGUGUACCUGCGGAAGGAUCAUUACAGAGUUGCAAAACUCCCUAAACCAUUGUGAACGUUACCUAAACCGUUGCUUCGGCGGGCGGCCCGGGUCCUUCCCGGCGCCCCUCGGCCCUCGCGGGCGCCCGCCGGAGGUAAACCAAACUAUUGCAUUGUAUGGCCUCUCUGAGUCUUCUGUACUGAAUAAGUCAAAACUUUCAACAACGGAUCUCAGAUCGGAAG